UGACCUCGGAUCAGUAGAAACCAGUUUC
rnacentral:rRNA from 1 species